UGGGGAAUCUUGGACAAUGGGCGCAAGCCUGAUCCAGCCAUGCCGCGUGGAUGAUGAAGGCCUUAGGGUUGUAAAAUCCUUUCGUGGGGGACGAUAAUGACGGUACCCCAAGAAGAAGCUCCGGCUAACUUCGUGCCAGCAGCCGCGGUAAUACGAAGGGGGCUAGCGUUGUUCGGAUUUACUGGGCGUAAAGCGCGUGUAGGCGGGUCGUUAAGUUGGGGGUGAAAUCCCGAGGCUCAACCUCGGAACUGCCUUCAAAACUGGCGACCUGGACUCAAGCAGAGGCAAGUGGAAUUGCGGGUGUAGCGGUGAAAUGCGUAGAUAUCUGGAGGAACACCGGUGGCGAAGGCGACAUCCUGGACCAAUUCUGACGCUGAGGAGCGAAAGCCAGGGGAGCAAACGGGAUUAGAUACCCUAGUAGUCCCUGAGCGGGCUGGCAAGGCGCAU
rnacentral:rRNA from 1 species